AGCGGCCCGGACUGCUGAUGUGAUUUAUUAGGAGCCGUAGAGUAGAGCUCUGUAUCCUGAUGACAUAAUGCUGUGUUGGAGUGUUGGAGGUGUUAUAUCUAGAGUAGAGUCUGUAUCUCUGAUGAUAUGAUACUGUGUUGGAGUGUUGGAGGUGUAUAUCUACAGUAGCCUCUGUAUCUCUGCAUCACAUACAGCAGCUGGACACAGUCAAAAACAUUGGCAUAAACACAUUAUCAUCACAACAUCAAUGACUUGGUUGUAAACUCACCUGAGUACAAAUAGUGUCCUCUCCCUGCCCUGAGUACUAGUAGUGUCCUCUCCCGAUUCCGGAUACAAAUAGUGUCCCUCCUGUGCUGAGUACAAAUAGUGUCCUCUCCCUGUCCGGAGUAUUAAUAGUGUCCUCUCCCUGUGCUGAGUACAAGUAGUGUCCUCUCCCUGUCCUGACAUCACCGUCUCACCUCUUACUGUAUGGGAGCAGCUGACUGCCCAGUUCACCGUCUCACCUCUUACUGUAUUGGAGCAGCUGACUGCCCAGUCAACAUCAGUUCACGUCUCCCCUCAUACUGUAUUGGAGCAGCUGACUGCCCAGUUCAACCGUCUCACCUCACUGUAUUGGAGCAGCUGACUGCCCAGUUCAACAUCAGUUCACCUUCUCACCUCAUACUGUAUUGGAGCAGCUGACUGCCCAGUCAACAUCAGUUCACUUCUCACCUCAUACUGUAUUGGAGCAGCAGCAGCGGACUGCCCAUUCACCGUCUCACUCAACGGUAUUGGAGCAGCUGACGCCCAGUUCACCGUCUCACCUCAUACUGUAUUGGAGCAGCUGACUGCCCAGUUCAACAUCAGUUACCGCUCACCUCAUACUGUAUUGGAGCAGCAAAGCUGACUGCCCAGUUCACCGUCUCACCUCAUACUGUAUUGGAGCAGCAGCAGCUGACUGCCCAGUUCAACAUCAGUUCACCGUCUCACCUCAACUGUAUUGGAGCAGCACAGCUGACUGCCCAGUUCACCGUCUCAC
rnacentral:lncRNA from 1 species